GGGCGAGGGGUGGGGCCGGAGCGCGGUCCCGCCCCCAGGUGAUUGCCUGGAGGGCUAACCCGCAGAGAGACGCUUCCUGGGGCGCGGGACUAAUCGCAGGCCUUCUGGCGCUGUUGGACCGGGAGGGGAUUCCGCCGGUGCCGGGAGGUCGGCGAGGAGCCCCCCGCUACGCCCGCCUCCUCCGUCAGUCGCGCCCUGAGCCGCGUUCUCCGGGUGGGUAUUCCCCAAGCCCCCUCCAGCCCUGUGUACCAUUGUUAGCGACUCUCCUUCAGGUAAAGAGGGCUUUCCACAAUAGGAAGGUCAUGCAACAGUAUGGAGGUGGGGGUGGGGAGAGUAGCUUUAUAGUGGAGAGACCCGACAAACUACCUUAGCUAAGUGAUCAAGGUCAACGUCCAGAGAGAUAAAUCAUUAGUGAUACGAUGUGCCCAUGUGGUCUUCCUCCCAAGAAUAUAGCCAAGAAAAGCCUAAGGAGAUAGGAAAAUAAUGUAGUGUGGCAUCCUGGAGGGGAUCCUGGUAAAAGGACAUUAGAGAAAAACUAAGGAAACCUAAAUAAACUAUGGACGUCAGUUAAUAAUAAAGCAUCACUAUUGGCUCCUUCACAGUAGCAAAAGCACCAUGCUAAUAGGAAAUGCUAAUAAUAGAAGAAACCAAGUGUUAACUUCUCAUUUUUUCUGUAAAUAUAAAACUAUUCUAAAAGAGUUUAUUUUUGGAAAAAAAAAAAAAAGCUCGCACGGGUAAUAAAUGAAUAUAUGGUAGUUUAAAAGCAGUUUUUAGAAACCGAGAUUCACACUUUACUCUUCCAGCUCACUUUUAGGUGUGCCCUUCCAGAUCUUUCUCUCUGCAGCACUCUAUGUGUGUAUAUACUCACCUAGAUGUACUGUUUAAAACGGUGUUGCAGUAUUUUUCUGCGACAUGCUUUUUUACUCACUACAUCUUGGAGGGUCUUUCCUUGCAAGCGCACCUUGUUCUACUUGGUUCUUCCCAAGGACCCAAGGGGUGCGCAAACGUGCGUGUCACCUAGGUCCUUAGGGAAGGACAUUUCGGUUGCUGUCGGUUUGGGGCUAUUGCGAACAGCACUGCUGGUCCUAUUUCCAUUUUCAGAGCGCACAGAGAGGGAGGGACUGGGGUGCUGUAGGUCCAAGGGGAGAUUCUGGGUAGGGUUGGUGGUGCCGGGCGGAAGCCGCGCCCUCCGCCAGCCAGUCGCCGCCCGACUACGAACCUCGGGGACCCAGUCAUUUUCCGCGGCCUGUGCAACACCGCUGUCCCCGCAAAGGCGCGGCCCUUUUUCGGGGCUGAACUGCAUUUUUCAGCGAUGAGUGGGCGGAUGAGAGUGAAACUCAAGCCAAAGGCUCCAGUGCGACUCGGAGGAAAUGCCCCGCCCCCACCCCCAGCAGAAGACGAGCCAAGGGUCAGUGGCACCAGGAGACUCGGCCAGGCUUGGGUAUUACCGCGGUGGGGGUGCCCGCGGCGCAUCAGGAGCGGGCGUCGGAGCGAAGCCCCCGCCGAGCCCGCGGCGCUCCUCCGAGAGAGCGUCUGUCGCCUGGUGCGCCCUGGGCUGGGGGCUUCGUCGGGGAAGGUCACACCUGGCGCCCACCCAAGCCUCUGCUUGGACACCCUGCGCCGGCGCCGCCCGUGCCGCGGCUCCCGGCGGCCUCAAAGGCAAGCUUCUUUGAAUGGCUCACUUUUUCCGUAGAUGAGCUAUUGCUUCCUUAAAUACCACCUUAAAAAAAAUAAAUCAGUAGGGGCGGAAUUCCUUCUGCGUGUAGCACACACUUUCCUACGUCAGGACUGAGCUCUUCAAGGCCCAGGAUGGGGGAUAGUUACCACUGUGCUCACCUUUCUGUGACUUUCAACCAUUUAUUUUUAACAAACGUCAUGUUGAGCUCCGACUCGGUUGGGACACUUGUGUCGGGGAAAAGUUUGGUCCGCAAACACCUGGGUCCUGUCACUUGGAAGUUCUUUGAGCCUCGGUGUUCUCGCUUAGAAAAUCUUCCAAAUGAUCUAUGAAAAUCUGUAAAGUGACCACUGCUUCAUCGUUGCUAGGGGCUGAUGCAAACAUCAGAUGAGUAGGUUCCACAACCAGCAUGGAGCCCAAUGCGGAUCCCAAACACACGACCCUGAGAUCAAAACCUGAGCUGGGUAUCAAGAGUCAGACGCCCAACCAACUGAGCCACCCAGGCACCAGGCACCCCCAACAAUGUUUUGAAGACCGAAAACAUAUGGUGGAGUGGUAAUUGACUUGGUAGAAAAGCGGACGCUUUACCUUGGGUGCCCCAGAGGGAGAAAUCAAGGAGAAGCAGCUGAUUCUCCCCACCCACCCCCAGAGUCAGCAAGGCUUAGCCUUACAGAUGGAAGGUAGAGUAUGAGGAUGCAAAUGGGAACAGGGAUGUGGGUAGAAACCCUAGUCACUUUCCCUAGCCCCUUCAGCAGAAGUUCCCUCUACCUGUGGAGAAAGAACACUUGUCAUAUAAGUUGAACUAUGGAGACUGCAGAAUAGGAUAUGUGAAGCACAAUGAAUUUGGGAGGAGGAGGUAGGGUAUGGGUCUACACAAAGAUUAAGCAAAAAUCUGCAUAUUGAAUCAUGGGACCCUAGUCCCCAGGAGGUGAUAAACCUGAUUCAAAUUCAUAAGCAGGGAACUGGAGGUUUGACCUCCAGUGAUAAAACAAUCCUUUUAAGAGAUAUCCUCCAACCUUAGGGGAUUUAUAGAAAAUGAGCAGCCCAGACAAAUGUCCUCCAAUGACUGAUAGUUACUGGUUCUCUCAAUGCAAAGCUGACUGAUGGCUUGAACACCCUGCAGUGAACACCAUCAGUCAACAAGCCCCACUGCCACGCAGAGAUUCCAGUCAUUGUUUUGUGCCUCAUCCCUAACUGUGAAUAUCCAACUUAGGAUCACCAGCCUGAAAGGAAGACCUCCAGAGAGAGUGACCAACCAGCCUGGUUUGCCAGGGGCAAGGGCGUUUUUCAGAACACAGGACAUUCAUUACUGAAACUGGAGAGUCUCUGGCCAACCAGGAUGAAUUGGUCACCCUACUCCAGCAUGUGUAAGCAAGAUCCAUAGCUUGGCUUUUGCUUAAUAGUUUGCAAACCUGACCUACUUGCCCAGCUCACAAGCUGUGAGCAUAGUCAUCUGCUAUAAUUUAUAGGGUCUUGUGGUAAAAUCUGCCAAAAAUUGUAUUAAAUGGUUUGUGACUUUUGCAGAUCCUUUUCCAGCCUUUGACAUGAUACGUAGGGAAGGAUAUGGACUACGCUAGGUGUCAAAGAUAGCUCCUCUAAUUUUUAGUUUUAUCUUUAAUCACUUGAGACCACAUUUGGAUGGGCUAUAUAUAUGUUUUCCUGCUGAACUCAGUGCAGCUCCCCAGCUAAUGCUCGUUCUGGAGGGUCAGUGUCUGUGCCAGGCAAGUCAUGAAAUGUGGUAUCACCAUGCCAUCCUUGCCCUUUACCGGAGAACAGAAAGCUAAGCAUUCUCCAGGAUGCAAAUUACCUGAUUUUGAUAUCAUGGACUCAGAAUAGUCUUUUUUUUUUUUUUAAGAUUUAUUUAUUUAUUUUAGAGAGAGAGAGCACGAGUGGGAGGGGCAGAGAGAGAAUCUCAAGCAGACUCCGUGUUUAGUGCAGCGGAGCCUGACAUGGGGCUCAAUCCCAUGACACGGAGAUCAGGACCUGAGCCGAAACCAAGAGUCGGAUGCUUAACCGACUGCACCACCCAGGCGCCCCUCAGAAUGGUCUUAAUAGACAAUCGAUACUACCAUCUUAUUACCUCCAGAAACAAGGACUACCAAUUCUGGAUCUGAAGCAAUCAUUUUAAGAGAUAUCCUCCAACCUUAGGGGAUUUAUAGAAAAUAGUUAUGAACAGAGAGCUACCUUGUUCGGUUACUUUGGGAGUGCAUUCCACAACGUUUAACUAGCAGGGCCUGCUGUUCAAAAUGAGAUGUGCUGCAGGUAUUUGCCUGUGUGGCCAAAUAGGCCCUGUGGUUACACACCUGCUUUCCUGUUUCUCCAGGCUGAUUUUUAUCGCCAUUGCACAGUAUGAGGUGGAACUGUGGGGCUUCAGUUACCUGCCUGUGGCAUUCUUAGAGAACUCUCCAGGUUUCUCCUAAAGCAAUUCUUGGCUCUACCAGCAGGGACUCCCUUGACGCACUUUGGAGGGGAUGUGUGUUGGCCUUUGCUUUAGGAACAUGUGCUUCCUGGCCCCUGAGUUUUCCUCAGAGGAUUGAAUUGAAGUCCCGGUUGAGUUUAUUAUUAAGGCAUGUGGCUCACUUCUUAAAUGGCAAUGGAAAGUACCAACAUUCCAAGUCGAAUUUCAGCCCUAGAGCCACAAUGUACUUUUUAAAAGUUUGGCCAAAAGAAAUGCUGUUUUGGACAAGUACCUAUGAAGUAUGUGUUGUUUUUUUUUUUUUUAAGAUUUUAUUUAUUUGUGAGAGAGAGAAUGAGAGACAGAGAACAUGAGAGGGAGGAGGGUCAGAGGGAGAAGCAGACUCCCUGCCGAGCAGGGAGCCCGAUGCGGGACUCGAUCCCGGGACUCCAGGAUCAUGACCUGAGCCGAAGGCAGUCGCUUAACCAACUGAGCCACCCAGGCGCCCUGAAGUAUGUGUUUUAUUCAAUCUCUAGACACAUAUUCUUAAAUGUAUAUAUGUUACCAAUUCAGCUGGAGCAGCGCAGUUGUGUGCUUGAGUGCCUCCCAUGGCUUCUUAAAGAUGUACUUCUAGUGGAUUAUGUUUUGGUUGGUGGCCCUCAAUCUAUACUGAGGGACAUUAUGCAAAAUAUGGCUUUGAACAUUGACCCCCUGUCUGUUGCAGGGAUGUCAUUGAGCGUGAUGCUUGUUAUGUCCAUAGCGACCUCUCCAAGAGGACAACUUGUAGAAACGAAUGUAUUAUUUGGUCUCACUAUCUGGAAUAGUUGCCUUUUUUUUUUUUUAAAGCAACCUGCAAAUACUCUGGAUCUUAUAAUAGGUCCUAUUUCCCUCUCCCUAUCUGCUGCUAGGGUCUUAGAGCUAAGCUGAUAAAGAACCAUGAGACUGUACAAAGGGGACUAAUCACUCAGGUUGGCACCGUUGGUGAAAUGGAAUCAGAGCAUGGGGUGUUGGCAAGGAGCUCUAGAGGCUGUGCCUACCAUCUUGAGUGUCAGGGAAUCCCCUCCCUAGAGGAAGUUUGGAGACCAACAUACAUUUCUCCAAACCAGUCUUAUAGAAGUGCCUGCAGAUUAUCCCUCUCACACAGAGUUGGGGUUAGGACAGGUAUAGUAGGGUGAUGACACGGGAGAGAGGCCUAUCGAGUCUUCUGUCCUCCCUCACUAGCUGUCUGUCUUUUAUCACACAUGGCAUGGUUGGAAAUGAAUGGGCACCAUAUAUGAAGUCAAGCGCCAUGUGUUUCCCAAUGCUGCACCCAUCCCGGUCUCCAGAUCUACGUACUUUCUGCCCCCAACAUUCACUUCCGUUAUGGGAGCCAGGGAAACAGUAUACUCUAGAUAUUAAAAGUGUAGCUCUGGAGUCAGAGGGCCAAUUUCAAAUCCUUCCCCCAUGCUCACUAGCUGAGUGGCCUUGGGUAAGAAAUGUAGUCUCAUGAUCUGUAUGACAGGAACCAAAACACUGCUGGCCAAACACAGUUGUUAUGACAACACAUUAUAUAACUACUGUGAAUCAUCUAGCACAGAGCUUGACGCAGCAAUAGAUGUUUGCUAUGCAGAAAUUCAUCAUGGUGGUUAAGAGUUUGGGCUUUGGGAUAGGAUGUAUGAGUGUUCAAAUUCCAACUCUUCCUGGGCCAGCUGUGAAAUGUUGGGCAACUUUCCAACUUCUUUAGUCCUUAGUUUUUUUCAUCUGCAAAUGGGACUAAUAAUACACAUGAAACUCUUGACACACCACUUCCUAUGAAGAGCGUGUUCCAUAAAUGAUAGCUCUACUUUCCUGUUAUUUUACUGCCACCCCAGGGGAGAAUACAGCUCAAGCUAAACAGGCAGGAGGAAGUGCCUAAGAGAGAUUCUCCAGAGCUGCCAACCCUUUGGUAGCAGGGGAACUGAUCUCCACCUCUGACAUAGAGUAGUAACAUAGCCACUUAGAUUUAUUGUUUUCUGUGUGCUAAGCAAUGAGCUGAGAGUUUUCUAUUUUUGUUUGACCCGAGAUUAGGUAUGGUGGAUCUUUGGGGAGGCACAGGUACUUUCUCAGUAUAGGUCCAAUCAGGAGACAGAAACCACAUUGGGGUUUAAGCAAUGGGAGUUUGCUAUAAAUAAUAUUAUGCUAUAAUAAAAGCAUAAUUAUAGGAUGUAAAGAGAACCCUCUAGGGCAACUCUCCCUACAGCUGAGAAAGGGAACCCAAGGAAGGGAAUACAACCUCAGAAGGCGGCCACCUCUCAAGGCUGUGGGUCAGACCUUGUUGGAGAAGGUAUCAUGGCAGCCCCUUGGAUGGUGGAGACAUUUGCAGGUGCCUUGGCCUGAGCUGGUCUUCAGUUGCUAGACAAGUGUGAAGCAAUCUGCCUGAGCACAGGUGAGUCACAACCUGGUGGUGGGAUCUGUGGGCAGGUAGAGGGAGUCAGACAGCAGUGUAGGUGGGCGGCAAGGAUCACACAGUGUCUGUGUUGGGAGGGUCGACGGAAGGUGAUCACCAGGCUGGACAGGACUCUAAGGUAUCUGGGGGACCUCUUGGACACAUAGCUGGGGCAGAGCACCACAGGAUGUCCGACACCUGCGAAAACCAGCGGCAGAAGCCCCUUCCUCCUGUGGAGUUCUCCCAGCACACUCUGCUGAGAAGGCUUACCAGUAUGCUCACUGUAAAGGCAAGAUGCUUAUGGGGAUUCUGCCCAUUAGCACACAGCAGCUCUUUGCGGGUGAAUUUGGAGCUGAAAAGUAAUAAAUUGAUAACUAGCAUAGACACAUUAGGGGCAUUUGAAGAAAGCUGAAUACACACAUGAAUGGAUCCAUGUAUUCAUGCAUGUGCACAUAUGUAUACUAAUCCACCCUGCUCAGGGGGUAUACUACUCCUAGAAUGUUCACAGACCCCAAGUGAAGAACACAAUUCGUGGUUCCCUGGCGGCCACAAGAAAGCCUCCAUAAGGCACUGAACUCUGUGGCAAGAUGGAAUGAAAGAACUGGCCAUGAGACUUCUAAAAUCCUGUCCUAGUUAUGGAGGCUGACAUUUCUUCCUCUUUCUCCACUCCCUUCCACAUUGCUCAUGGCACCCAAGGGAGACCUGAACCCUAGCAGGGCAAGCCCAUUUCCCUUUUUUAAAUUAAAUUAAAUUAAAUUAAAUUAAUUUAUUUAUUUGAGAGAGAGAGAGAACACCAGCCAGGGGAGGGGCAGAGGGAGAGGGACAAGCAGACUCCACACUGAGCACAAGAGACUGACACAGGGCUCAAUCCCAGGGCCCUGAGAUCAUGACCUGAGCCGAAAUCAAGAGUUUGGACAAGAUGCUUAACCAAAUGAGCCACCCAGGUGCCCCAAGCCCAUUUUCUUUUUGCAUAUUUAUUUCUCCCAAAGCCUAACUAAUCCGUCUGUCAGCUUGGGCACACAGAGGGCACUGUGCUCUGAACAGCAGGCUUCCUGGGUUCCUAUUGAACAGACUCAUGGACAGUCAUUUUCCUCCACCAACUAAACACCAAGCUACUUGUCGAUAGUGACAAACACCAGUUUUGAUACUUUCUACUGUUUUUGGCAUGGUAAGUGCCUACUCAUGGCCCUGCUGGGAGUAAGGGCCCAGAAGCUGAAAAUUCACCUCCCAUUCUGCUCCAACCCCAUCCACAGGGCCGGAUGUUGGUAGUGGUCAGAGACCCUUGAAGAAUGAAAUCGAUUCCCUUAGGUGUGCAAAUGUUGUUUUUGUUUUUGUUUUUAAGAUUUAUUUAUUUAUUUGACAGAGAGAGACAGUGAGAGAGGGAACACAAGCAGGGGGAGUGGGAGAGGGAGAAGCAGGCUUCCCGCCGAGCAGGGAGCCUGAUGCGGGGCUGGAUCCCAGGACCCUGGGAUCAUGACCUGAGCCGAAGGCAGACGCUUAACGACUGAGCCCCCCAGAUGCCCCAGUGCUCAAAUAUUAUAUGAUGCAUACAUGGAACUCUGCCUCCAUCCCACACCUACCAGAGUCAGAGGGGGCUCAGGAGCCUGUAUAUUCUGGAUAAGACUGCCUUUCCCCCAGCCACAUCACGUUCGGCAGAGUGAAGAAGGCCUCUGGAAUUCCUCAUAUUGCUGUCAGGCCCCCCUCUCUCCUCCCCACACGUACUCCUCACCACCAUUAUUUGCCUUGAGAGCCUCAGGGUCCACCUCAUUAGGGCUUUAUCUCCAUUUGCCUCAGUCCCUCCAAAAAACUCAGGCGCCCAGGCCAUCCCUUAUCUCCCAGACUUGAAAGCCCAUAUAGCUCCUUAUGGCUCUCUCCACCCUUUUCCCCAUAGCACCUGACAUAUAGUACAGCUGACCUACUUAUUUGUUAGACUCCCCCGAUUGAGGGCGGGGUGUCUUGGCUCUUUUGUUAACAGCUAUACUCCCAACAUCUAGAAGGCAUCUGGCAUAUAGUAGGUGCUUAUUAAAUAUAUGGCAAAGGAAUGCAUGAGCAAACAAAGCAUCUUUGAUGCCCUCCGUUCUCUGGGACUCAGUGUCUACCACAGCCCCGUUAGUCUUGUUACUACCUUCCCAUCAAGGGCCUAAACCACAGCCCUUCCCCCAUACUGGCUUACACAACUCUCUAGCAAUUUCAGAGCAUGGGCUUUGGAGACACAUGGGCUUGGAGACACACGGGCUCUGCCGUGUAGAGCUUUUUAGCACCUCUGUGCCUCAGUUUUGCUUACUUGUAAAACUGAGAUUUUGUGGUCAAGUGGAUUAAAUGGAAGGUGUUUAUAAAGGACUCAGCACAGCUCCUGGCCCCCAGUAAGUGAGCAGUAAAGGAUAGCAAGCAAGCAGGGAGGCCGCAGAGCGGGGUUGGGAGGAGCAAGGAGCCUUCCUCUGUCGCUCCAUCCUCGAUGCGUUGGUAGGGAAUGCCCAGAACCUUGUGCUAAAAUGGAUUCUGGGCAGGCCCUGGGCUCAGGGCGAAGGAGUCUGACAAUUGAUUAAUGAUGUCUGUCAUGGGCAUGGGUUCUUCAGGCAGCAAAAGGAUGAAGGAAGUAGCGGACCCAGGCCACACAUUUGCCAUCCUGAUCUACAAUUUCCACCUCCUCUCCUUUUCUUUUGUACAUCUUGACUACUUUCAAGGGUAAGAGCUCCUCUCUUUCCGGGAGCUCCUCCCUGACCUCAGAGUCCUUCACACACCCCCACCCUGAAAAUGGUACGGUGUGCUCUUCUGAGCCCCCACACAUUUUCUAUGCUGUGCCUUUAUUAUUCACCAUAUAGCCUUUUGGGUUGUGUUUUAACUUUCAGAUCUCCUGUCUGCAUAUAUAGGCUGAAAAAUGCCUUCAGGUUAGGUUUUGCCUUUGAGAACUAACUUGGUAAAACAGGGUGCAUUGGAUUAGGAGUCAGAAAACCUGACCUUGCUGUGCGACUUUGAGCACAUUGCCCUGCCUCUCUGAGCCUGUUUCCCUGAAUGAAAAUGGGAACCUUAAGCAAGCUGCCUUCUCUGCCCACUGUAUCCCAGCGCUGCGGGGGGAAUCAGUAUUUCAUAAGGCUCUGUAGGGAGUAAGAGCGUUCAUGUCCUUGUUGCAUAUCCCUUUGCUCUCCGCUUUCAGUGUCUAAUACCAGAGUUUCUGCAGAUGCAGAGUACGCUUUUCUCAGCAAGGGAGUAGGCAGAUGAGUGCUUUGAACGGGAGAAACAGGCACUUAGGACAUACUGACAGCUGAGUUCGGAGAAGGGAAGGGACAAUCCAACAUUUCUCCCUUUAUGCUUGCAAUUGGGAAGAGUUAGGAGCCAGGAAAGGUAAAUGCUGUCAUCUGCUGGUCAUUUCCUGUGUAGCAGCCUCAAAAUAAGAGUUCUGCAAACCUCUUGUGUAAACUUAGCUAAGGACCCAGGAGGGAGGAGGUGGCAUUUGCUGAACGUUUACUGUUUAUAAGGGACUAUCUGCAAAGAUGCUAUAGAAGAGAGAUAGGAAUUAACCUUGGAUGCUGCCAAUAAAGAGGUCACGGCCGCCGGAGAGCUAGAGCCGCCUUCCCGUGCCUGUGUGCCUCGAGCACAUCCUUCAGCCUCUCUGAACUCUGGGUUUCUCACUGGGUGCGUGGAUUAGGAUGGUCUACAAGCAUCUGAAAGGAGGACCUUGAAAGAGGAAGAGAAUGUUACAGACGGGCACUGAGACGGAAAAGAGGACGGGUCAAGAGAAGCCCUUGGAAAGCCUGACAUGUGUCCUCUUCCCUUGUCUCCUUGUUUGUGAAGCUGUGGGUUAGGCUCCGGAUCUCGAAGCAUCUGUCCUCCUCUGACUUCUUUCUGCUCAGGGGAAGGGACAGAGGAGUUGAAAAGACUUCUCGAAGGAAGAAUGGAACCAACACCUGUGUAGUCUCCGCCAAUUUUAAGAAAUGGAACCAUAUUGUUGCCUCUGAAGUCGUCUAUGAUAUGAAUAUAUUUUAAUUUAUUUACACAUUCUACUGUGGAGGGCAUUUGAAUCGUUUCCUAUUGUUUCCAGAUUUUUUGCUCCCUUGGACAUCCAUGCGUGUAUAUUUCUGUCAAGUAUAUACUCAGGGGGUGGAAUUGUUGGGUUAUAGACCAGGUGCAUUUUCAACUUUAGAGAUAAUUACAAUUCAUUAUCCCAAGAGGUUGCCCUAAUGGAAACUCACAUUAGAAGUGUGUGCAAGUUCCCAUUACUCCAAAUUCACUGCAAGUACUCGAUGCUCUCAGAUUUUUUUACAGUUUUGCUAAUUGGGUGAGGGUGAAAUGGUGUUUUACUGGGUUUCCCCCAAUUAAUAACGAGCAUGUUUUCAUACAUUCAUUAUUUUGCAUUCCUUCUGUCAAAUGCCUGUUUAUUUCUUUGUCUGGUUUUCUCUUGUUUUGUCUUUUUGUCCUCAUUAAUCUGUAGGAGUUUUAAAAUAUAUUUGAGAUACAACUCUUUUAUCAUCUAUGUAUAUUGGUAAAUUUUUGUCCAUUCUGUAGCUUGCCUUUCUACCUUCUUAUAAAUGUCUUUUGAAGACUAGAAGUUGUUAAUGAUAAUGUAGUUGUACUAGGCAGAAUCCUAGGAUGACCGCCAUGACCCUCAUCCUGGUAUAAUGUCCCUCCACCAGAGUAUGGACAACACCUGCGCAUGUGACAGGUAUCAUUGGUGAUUGUGUCACCUGUGGCAAAAGGAAUUUUGCAGAUGUGACUGUGGUAACUAAUCAGCUGAGUAUGAGUUAAUCAAGUGGGAGAUUAACCAGGUAGGCCUGACCAAGUCACAUGGUCCUUUUAAACUUGAGUCUAGAGAUCAGAAACAGAAAAAGUCGGAGAUUCAAAGCAUGGAAGAUUUGACGUACCACUGCUGGCUUUGAAGAGGGAGGGGGGCUCCCUGGUGAUGCAGGGUGGUCUCUAGGAACUGAGAACAGAUCCUGACUGACAGCCGCCGACGACCCGGGGACCUCAGGCCUACAACCUCAAGGAGCUAAAUCUGCCACAAUCCCAAGAGCUUGGAAGAGGACCCAGGGUUCUAGAUGAGAUCACAGCCCAGCCAACACCUUGAUUUUGGACUGUAGGACCCUGAGCUGGGGACCCAGCCAUGCUGUGGGUGGGCUUCUGGGCUGCUCAUCUGUGAGCCAACAAAUGGGUGCUGAAUUUGUUAUGCAGCAGUAGGAAACAAAUACAGUAGUUGUACUUAUCAACAUUU